rnacentral:misc_RNA from 1 species
AAUUAUCAACCUCUUCAAGAGGCUUGGAUUUGGAGUGUUGCUGGCUUAUUGUUGGCUCCUCUUAAAUAAAUUAAGCUUGUGUGUAGGCUUUGGUUUGAUAAUAUCUAUGCCAUCGCUGUAAUGCAAAACAACCUUGAA